rnacentral:rRNA from 1 species
AUGAAUUUUAAACAACUUGAUCAUGAGCAUGUUGCCCAAUCUUGGGAAAGAAUGAAAUGGAUGAUUCAUAAUUGCCCUACUCAUGGUUUGAAUUUAUGGAUGAUCAUACAAAAAUUUUAUGCCGGUUUGAACUUUGCUUCUAGAAAUCUCUUAGAUUCGGCCGCGGGAGGCACGUUUAUGGAAAUCGCGUUAGGAGAUGCUACAAAACUUGUUGAUAAUAUUAUGGCUAAUUAUUCUCAAUGGCACACCGAAAGAUCUUCUAGUAAAAAAGUGCAUGCUAUAGAAGAAAUCAAUGUUUUGAGUGGAAAGAUGGAUGAACUUGUGAAGUUGUUUGCUACUAAAAAUACUCCUCUUGAUCCCAAUGAUAUGCCUUUGUCUACUUUGAUUGAGAAUAAUAAUGAAUCUAUGGAUGUGAAUUUUGUUGGUGGAAUAGUUUUGGAAACAAUGCUUAUAGAGGAAACUUUAAUUCUAGACUGUUCCCUACUAAUUCCUCUAAUAAUUAUGGAAAAUCCUACAGUAAUUCUUAUGGUAAUUUUAAUAAGAUGCCCUCUGAUUUUGAGAAUAGUGUGA